rnacentral:rRNA from 1 species
UACGGAGGGAGCUAGCGUUUGUUCGGAAUUACUGGGCGUAAAGCGCACGUAGGCGGCUUUGUAAGUUAGAGGUGAAAGCCCGGAGCUCAACUCCGGAAUUGCCUUUAAGACUGCAUCGCUCGAAUCCAGGAGAGGUGAGUGGAAUUCCGAGUGUAGAGGUGAAAUUCGUAGAUAUUCGGAAGAACACCAGUGGCGAAGGCGGCUCACUGGACUGGUAAUUGACGCUGAGGUGCGAAAGCGUGGGGAGCAACAGG